rnacentral:lncRNA from 1 species
UUUUUUUUUUUUUUUUCCUUAAAAAGAGGCUCCUUCCCUGACUCAGAAAUCAAAAGCCUAGGACUCUUGAUCAAGGUGGAUCUGAAUUUGGUCACUAUGAGGCGAGGCCUGGAGAUACUGCAUUUCCAAGGAGCUCUCAGGUGAAGCCCACGGACCACAUAGAGCAUGAGACCAAAGUAAAUAGCUAGUGAAAAGCUGGUCCAGAGCAUUGCAAGAAACAUCUUGCUUUCCUCUAGGUGAACCAUGUGGGCAAUGUCAACUGGGCCACAGGAUUCAGGACGAAGCAGUGAUGUUGGGCCCUCCCUCACAGGAACAGUUCCUGCCCUUUGUAGAGCCACGAUGUCCUAGACAGAGGGGCAUGCAUCACAGAAACAGACCUGUCUGCUAGUUCACCACCCCAGAUGAUGUCAGCUUGGACUGGGCCAGUCUGGAUGGAAGGAAGACCUAUGCCUUCCCUCCUUUACCACAGCAAACUCUCUUUUUCCUUCAAAAUUUACCCCCACCUUCAGGAAGCCACCCUGGCUAACCCAGCCUACUCCAAACUCUCCGUCCUCUCACUUUCCACAGCACUGACCAACCAGCUGUACCCCUGAGCACUCACCUGCUAUUCCAGGCACCUGCCUCUCCUUUCCAGGCACUUGCUUCCCUUUCUCAUUGCCACACCUCUGCUUCUGCUACUUCUCCCAUGAUGUACUCCCCACCACUCUCCAUCUCCAUAUAUCUGAGGCACAGCUUACCCCUAGGAUUCCCCUAGAAACAGGCCUUACAAUGGCAGCUCUUCAUCUGACCUUGGGUCUCUGUACCCAGCACUGGUCACCCCAGUCAUGUCUCCACAAUCAGAUCUUCAGGCUCUCAUCUGCUAUGGUCUCUUUUGUUUGACAUGAGUCCCUGGCUUUAUGCUGUGGGGGCACCUGCAUCAGCCUCUCCCUGAGUGACCUACGCAGUAUAAUAGAGACCCUGUCCAUCCACUCAUCCAUUCAUCCAUCCCUUCACAUUUACCAAGUGCCUGGCCCUGGGCUGGAUUCUGGGGGACCCUGUGCUGCCCACAGCCAGAAAGGACAUAGCACCAACCACAGCUUUGCUCAUGGGCACAAGAGGUACUUGUGAGAAGUGACGUGGGACCCGGCUCAGCAUACCAAUCCUUGAUGACACCACAGCAGGUCUCUCUGCAUCCUUGUCAUCUGUCACCUCCCCCACGAUUACUGUGAUCACUGAUCAUCAUGCAAAUCACAGUAGGCAUGGCUGAAGCACGUACAUCAUCCCCAGUGUUAGAAAGCCUGUGGAAUCCCGAGUCUGUCAUCUAAAGUUCAGAAAUGAGCCAAAGGCAUCUUCUGCAGCUUGAACAUAGCACCAAUCAGAAGGGCUGUGAAACCCCUUCGGAGUUGGAGUGGCAGGAACAAGGUGAUGAGCAGCCUGGGGUGCCCAGCCCUGAGCAUCUGGCCUGAGCCUGCAUGUGAUUCCCUGUGUAGGAUGAGAAUACCCUUCAUGGGAAAAUCACACCUUUCUUCAUAAAAAUAAAACCCUAAACCAAAAGAUACCUCUAAUAAGAACACCCCAGGGAAGCAGAAUCCUUGGGGACAUCUACCUGAUUUCUGCUGCCACCAAUGGGGAGACAGUUCCUCCUGCAAUACCAAGCAGGGAUCAGGGCACAAGUCCUUCCUUCAUAUCCAGGAGUAUAGUGGAGACGAGGUUAGUAUUUGGGGAUGACACACGGGAAAUAAAUACCAGGAACACAAUCCUGGUUCACCCAAAGCUGGGUUUCCUAUGGAGGCUCACAUAGUCACAUAGUGACAGCUCACUUUCCAGGGUCCUGGCCCCUAUCUGGGGAUGUACUUCAUCCCUGAUAACUAAUAACCAUCCCUGUGGGGAAGAUCUUGGUCCAUCUCUACCUCCACUCCAGGAAUAAGACCCAGCAGGUAACAAACCAUGGUCUUCUUAGCACAACACAGCAACCCAGACACGCAGAAGUAGGGGUGGCAUUCCUCUGUAGCCUCCAAACAACCAUCCAAGUUGAAAAUGGACCCAGAACAGACAACCCAACAAUAAAAAUGGACAAAGGAUCUGAACAUGCAUUUCAUCAAAGAAUAUAUAUGAAGGACUAAGAAGCAUGUGAAAAGCACAUCACUAGUCACUACAGAAAUGUACGGGGAAACCACAAUGAGAUGCCAUUAUAUGGCUAAGAGAAUGGUUAAAACUUAAAAGACUGGCAAUAUCAGCUGUCAGUAAGGAUGUGGAGCAACCAGGACUCUCAUACGUUUCUGGUAGGAAUGCAAGGUGGUGCAGCCACUCUGGAAAACAAAUUGGCAAUCUCGUAAAGUCAAACAUACAUUUACCAUAUUCUCCAGCAAUUCCGCUCUUAGGUACUUAACCAAGAGAAAUGCAAACCUAUUUUUCAUUUUGUGUCCAUAUGAAGACAUGUACUCACAGUAGCUUUAUUCAAAAAAGCCAAAAACUAGAAACUAGGAAAAAACGCCCAUCAACUGUUGGACGGAUAAACCAACCAUGAUUUAUCUAUGCAAUGGGGAUGGUACUCAGCAAUAAAAAGGAAGGAACCAGUGAUACACAAAACAACAUGAUGAAUCUCAAAUGCAUUAUGCUGAGUGAAAGAAGGCAAACAUAUGCUACGAUUCCAUUUAUAUGAACUUCUAGAAAAGGCAAAACUAGAGAGCCAGAAAUCAGCUCAGUUGUUGAGAGAGAAUAAGAGGACAGGGAGGGGAAUGACAGUGAAGGGACAUGAGGGUAAUGAAAAUAUUCUGUAUCGUGUUUGUACGAUGGCUACACAACCAUAUUCGUUUGUCAAGUCUCAAGGGACUAUACAGUUAAAAUUGGUGACUGUUACUGAAUGUAAGUUAUAUCAAGAAAAUUUAUUUAUUUAAAGAAAAUGGACCCAGGUGGGGAUUAAGGAGUGCACUUAUGGUGAUGAGCACUGGUGUUGUAUGGAAGUGCUGAAUCACUAAACUGUACACCUGAAGCUAAUAUUACUAACUGGAAUUUAAAUCAAAUUUUUUUUAAAAAAAUUAAAAUCACAAUAAAAAAAAAUAGACCACAGACUCAAAAAACUAUUUUCAAAU